UCUCUUCCCCAAUCUAUUUCACGAUAUAAUCAACCCUCUCUCUCUCAACUGACUUCACCGUCUUAUAAAAAAAAAACUAACUUCACCGCCAUGGCUUCUUCGACACCGCCAACAGCGUCUAUGCCGUCGCCUGGUCCAAAUCUCCGUCAAGCUCUAAAACCUUGCCCUCCCGCCGACCUGCAACCUCCUCCGCUCCCUCCACGAGCACACGCGCGAGGUUAGCUCCGCUGACUACAACCCCACGCGCCGCGACUCGUUUCUCACGAGUCGCGUGGGAUGACACCGUGAAGCUAGACCGUUGACCGUCCCGCCUCCGUCAGCACGUUCAAGGAGCACGCCUACUGCGUCUACUCCGUCG
rnacentral:lncRNA from 1 species